rnacentral:lncRNA from 1 species
UUUUUUUUUUUUUUUUUAAUUGUUUUUUAAACUGAAGUGUAGUUGAUUUACAAUAUCAUGUUAGUUUCAAGUGCACAGCACAGCAAUUCAGUUGUUAUCCUUUAUGGAUUAUUAAAAAAUUUUGGGUAUAGUUCCCUUAUAGAUUCUUUUCCCUUAUACGUUCUUUUCCCAUAUAGGUUAUUACAAAAUAUUGAGUAUAGUUCCCCGUGCUAUACAGUAGGUCCUUGUUGGUUUUAGUGUGAUUUUAUAAGUAAGGAUUUACUCCAUCUCUUCUGCAAUUUAUUUUUGUGGUAUGAAUUGGUGACCUACCUCUUUUCCAAAUGGAUAACCAGUUGUCUCAACAUCAUUUAUUGAGGUGUCAAUUUUUCCCUAUUGAUUUUAUUUUUAUGUUCUAUUUAAAAGUUUUAUUGAAGUGUAGUUGAUUUACAACAUUGUUAAUCUCUACUGUGCAGCAAAGUGACUCAGUUGUACAUAUAUAUUCUUUUGCAUAUUCUUUUCCAUUAUGGUUUAUCACAAGAUAAUGAAAAUAGUUCCCUGUGCUAUACAGCAGGAUCUUUCUUGUGGUUUAUCCAUCCUUUUAUAUAUUUGCCUCUGCUAAUCCCAAACUGCCAAUCCUUUUUUCCCCUACCCCCCCAGCAACCACAAGUCUGUCCUCAAUAUCUCUGAGUCUAUUUCUGUUUUGAAGAUACGUUGUUUUGUGUCAUAUCCACAUAUAAGUGAUAUCAUAUAGUACUUGUAUUUCUCUGACUUACUUCACUUAAUAUGAUAAUUUCUAGGUCCAUCCAUGUUACUACAAAUGGCACUACUUCACUCUUUUUUUAUGGGUAAAUAGUAUUGCAUUGCACACAUGUAUCACAUUUUCUUUAUCCAUUUCUCUGUUGAUGGAUAUUUAGUUUGCUUCCAUGUCUUGGCUGCUGUAAAUAGUGCAGUAAUAAACAUUGGAGUGCAUGUAUCUUUUUGAAUUAUGGUUUUGUAUGGGUUCUAUUGAUUUUAUUUAUUAUUUAUUUGUCUUUUUAGGGCUGCACUCCUGGCAUAUGGAGAUUCUCGGGCUAGGUGUCAAAUUGGAGCUGUAGUCACUGGCCUACGCUACAGCCACCUGCACGCCAGAUCCAAGGUGCAUCUUUCACUUACCACAGCUCACGGCGUGGGUUAAGAAUUGGGUGUUGCUGUGAGCUAUGGUAUAGAUCACAGAUGAAGCUUGGAUCCCACUUUGCUGUGGCUGUGGCUGUGGCUGGCAGCUGCAGCUCCCAUUCGACCCCUAGCCUGGGAACCUCCAUAUGCUGAGGGAGCGGCCCAAGAAAUGGCAAAAAGACAAAAAAAAAAAAAAAAAAAAAAAAAAAAAAAAGAAAGGGAAAGAAGGCAAGCUUGCAGAUUUAAAACUUAAAUUCUGCUUUUGUUUUUUUGGGCCAGGAAUUGCUUGAUCUUGAAAGUCUUGUGAGAAACAGGGCAAGGAACAGUCAACCAUGCACACAUACCACGAUGUCAGAAAGAGGGAGAGAGAGCUGAAUUUUCUUUCCUUGACAGAUUUCCCAAUAUUGAGUGUCCAAGGGGUCCUGGCAAAAAUCUAAGGAGUAAAAACAACGCUGAAAGAAAUGACUUCCAAUGUAUCACUCAAGGUCAGAUUAUCAGCAAAGUAUCUCUAAGACUGAGUUACCCUCCAGAAAGAGAAUCCACUUCCCCUUGGGAAAGCAGAGUGUAUAAUCCUGUAUAGCUUUGCAUUAUUUCUCUGCAGCAAGGUUUUUUCAUGUAUGUUGCACCUCUGGCGUUGUGAGACCUGUGUGCACCUGUCAUUUCAAAGUGUUAAAUAAAAUUAUACAGU